rnacentral:rRNA from 1 species
GACGAACCGUGCUAACGUUAUUCGGAAUCACUGGGCUUAAAGCGCGUGUAGGCGGGACGGCACGUCGGUCGUUGAAAGCCCCCGGCUCAACCGGGGAACGGGCGCCGAUACGACCGUCCUGGAGGGACGUAGGGGGACCUGGAACUUCCGGUGGAGCGGUGAAAUGCGUUGAGAUCGGAAGGAACGCCCGUGGCGAAAGCGAGGUCCUGGACGUUUUCUGACGCUGAGACGCGAAAGCCAGGGGAGCGAACGGG